CCGGGAAGCGAGGGAGGGAGGCUCCGCAGGGCGUGUGGAAAGUGGCUUUCUGCGUGGACCUGGAACCCCGCUCUUCUAGGCGGGGACCCUCGGGGUGUCCAGCGAGGCCGGCAGCCCGCGUCCCCUCUCCACCCGAGCCGCGGUCGGAAAGGCGUGAAACAGCACACUUCCGGCGGGCCCACGCUGCGUAAGGAAGUCCGCGAGCCCGGUCCUUUGCCGAGUCCGGGCUCCUGGAGAGAAAUUUAUUUUCACAGGUCUGAUUGGGCCCGGCGGCGCACACCUGUAAUCCAGCAGCCGGGGCGGCUGAGGGCAGGGGGAUCGCCAAGGGUUCAAGACCAGCCUGAGCUACAUAGUGAGGUCCUGUCUCAGAACACCAAACAAACGAACAAAGAACCAAAGUUCAAGUCCAGCUUGGACAGCUUACUACUUAGUGAGACCCUGUCUCUAAAGCAGUGUGUGUGUGUGCGUGCGUGUGUGUGUGUGGUAGACAAAGUGUUGGCCCUGCUGUGUGUGUUGAAGCUCACACACCUCAGGAGGAGGUCGGGAUCUUUGCCUCUGUGAGCACUAGUGGCUCCAGGUUUUCCUUGGAAUGUAGCUGCAUCUCUCCAGGCUGGCCUCUGAUUUCACAUGUCCUCUUUUGUCAGAAUUCUCAGCUUCCUCUCACAAGGACGCUUGCCAGGCAUGGUGGUGGAUACCUGUAAUCCUAGCAUUGGGAGGCUGAGGCAGGAGGAGCACAAGUUGGAAGCCAGCCUCAGCUACAUAGUGAGUUCAUAGUGAGUUUUGGACUACAAAACAAGGCCCUGUCUCAAAACAAAAAAAGCUGUUUUUGGACUUAGGAUCCACUUGUGUAGCAGACACCUCUGCCCAGUAUUAGCAGGCUGUAGUGGCACAAGCUCCUUGGCCCUCCAUCACUGGGCUGUGUUACAUUGGAAGUAGCAGAGCUUGGCUGAGUUCACUCCCAGUCAAGGUCAGCUGACUCCAGCUAAAUUCUUCCCUCUGAAUUAACUGUUUGUUCUGUUCAGCACAGAUAUGCUGGGCCCUCAUUCUACAGUCCUCCUCCUUGACACUUGUCAUCAGCAGGUGUCCCGAGGCCUGGCCAGCUUCCCCCUGCCCCACACUUGUGAUGAGUAAACACUGGACAUCCUGGGAGUCCUUUCUCUUUGCUGCCCGGAGCAGCUUGGAUCAGCCUGAGACUCAGUGUCUCUCAAGUCUCUGUCUGUGUGUUUAUUCUAAUUCCCACUUAGCUAUCUUGAGGUCAUUGGACUGGGUUGCAGGAGGCCAGUAGCACUGCAGGGCUAACCCGAUACACUUGGAUUAUUCCGGAUGAUCCACUGUCAAGAUGCCUACAUCUGCAAAGAACCCUUCGCUAAAUAAAUAAAGUCUCAUACAUUCUGGAAUGUGUCUUUUUUCUUCUUUUUUGGAGACAGGGUCUUGCUGCACAGUUGGCUUCAUAUUUGUGAUCCUCCUGCCUCAGCCUGUCAAGUGCUGAGAUUACAGGUGUGUGGUGCCACCACAUCUAGCCAAGAAUGUAUCUUUGUUGUGGGACCUACCUGCUUCAUCCCGGGGGUUCCCCCCAGCCACAGAUGGCACGGAUCAGUGGCUGUCCUUGCCAUGGCCUGUGUGGCUGAAGAGCCCACAGAGGGAGAAUGGUGGGGGAUGAAGAAAAGACAGAAAAAGCUGAGGCCAGGUGGAGCCUUUCUCCUGAUGGGAGAACAGGGCUGCCUGGUAACAGCAGCACUUGUAUUUAUAGUGGUAGGUAAGGGAAGUGCAAGGGGAGGUGAAGGAGCUGGUUUGGAACUGGAACAGGGAGAGGGGUUAAUCUGCAGGGCUUCACCCUUGAUAGUUUCAUGGGGAAGGGAUGGGCAGGAAGCAUGUCCUC
ensembl:lncRNA